CCUACGGGAGGCAGCAGUGGGGAAUAUUGGGCAAUGGAGGCAACUCUGACCCAGCAAUGCCGCGUGAGUGAUGAAGGUCCUUUUAUUGUAAAGCUCUUUUCUUUGGAACGAAUAAAUGACGGUAUCAAAGGAAUAAGCCCCGGCUAACUACGUGCGAGCAGCCGCGGUAAUACGUAGGGGGCAAGCGCUGUUCGGAAUGAAUGGGCGGACAGGGUGUGUAGGUGGUGUGAUAAGUUAGAGGGGUAAUAGCCAGGGCUUAACUCGGGGGCUGCAUCUAAAACUGUUAGACUUGAGUACUGGAGAGGAUAGUGGAAGUCCUGGUGUAGCGGUGGAAUGCGUAGAUAUUAGGAGGAACAUCAGUGGCGAAGGCGACUAUCUGGACAGCAACUGACACUGAGGCACGAAAGCGUGGGGAGCAAACAGGAUUAGAUACCCCAGUACUC
rnacentral:rRNA from 1 species